rnacentral:lncRNA from 1 species
CUCUUCAUGUGCAGCCCUACAUACAGCUGUGAAACAGACCUCUAUUUAACCAGAUAGAAAUCAUUUGAGAGGAAGGAAAACAAUGGAAAAGAUUUUUUUUGUGAUUUUUUCAUAAAUCAUAAAAUAACAAAAUAUAAUAAUGUGGAUGCACAGAUAUUUGCAAAAAGAUAAAUAAGCAACCUAGAAAAUGGUAUAAAGAAAAAUGAGUUCAACGUCUUUAUAUUCCACCGAGGUCUGCAAUAGUUUCUGCUUCAGAAUUAUAAUCAAAUGGUAGCAAUGUUAGCAAUAGCCCUAACCUUACCAUGUAUUGUGAGUGUAAACAUAUGAUCCAACAGGGUGUAGCUUACAUUUUAUUUUUCUCUAAGUGUUCCCUCAAUCAAUGAAAAGGAUCAACAAUGAUGCAACCUAAAACCACUCUGGUAGGUUUAUUUUCCUUACUUAUCCUCCCUUACCACUCCUCCUCUUCCUCCUCCUUUUCCUUAAAUUAGACUCAUCUCCACCUUUAAAUUCACUAAACUUUUGUCUGUCAGGGACACUUUGCACAGUUUUCCUUUCCAAUUUUGUAUUUUUAAUUUUUCAUGAUGUCCUGCACAAUUACUAAUUUCUUUAUCCUCCUUUUUGUCACAGCUCAUGUCAUCACUGCAGCUGAAGAACUUGAUGGUUCAGCUAUCGACACCUGUAUGAUUUUUCCUGUUCCUGAUUUGACCACUGUCACCAAUACUAAGGAUGCAAUAAUCACGCCUGUCACAACAAUGCAGGUGGUGACCACCACAACCUCAAACCUAGAACGCAUUAAACAACCACCACUUGUAACAAGACCAAUCACAAAUCAUCAGUCUGAUCUUCUCCGCAUUCUGUUGGAAAACAUCAGACAUCAUGUCAAUUCUCAACCCAGACUCACAGGUUUCAUCUCUCACCAGCAUAAAAAAACCUCAGAUAGCUCUGAGUCAGCUGCACAGCAAGGCUCACUUUCUUCAGAUUCAAGCGAUGAGUCUUAGUAUCAAAACUCUUAAGAAUUUGGAAUGUUUUUGUAUUUGUAGUAUUGAUGUCAAAGAUGUAAUUAAUGUACCUGUAACAAGUAUCGACAAUAUGUUUUGCAGUAAAACUAUUCUGUUGCCCUUGGAUUUUUUUAUUUUUUUAUUUAAGGUUUAUGAGUGGGAAC